rnacentral:rRNA from 1 species
AUUGAACGCUGGCGGCAUGCCUUACACAUGCAAGUCGAACGGCAGCACGGGUGCUUGCCCCUGGUGGCGAGUGGCGAACGGGUGAGUAAUACAUCGGAACAUGUCCUGUAGUGGGGGAUAGCCCGGCGAAAGCCGGAUUAAUACCGCAUACGAUCUACGGAUGAAAGCGGGGGACCUUCGGGCCUCGCGCUAUAGGGUUGGCCGAUGGCUGAUUAGCUAGUUGGUGGGGUAAAGGCCUACCAAGGCGACGAUCAGUAGCUGGUCUGAGAGGACGACCAGCCACACUGGGACUGAGACACGGCCCAGACUCCUACGGGAGGCAGCAGUGGGGAAUUUUGGACAAUGGGCGAAAGCCUGAUCCAGCAAUGCCGCGUGUGUGAAGAAGGCCUUCGGGUUGUAAAGCACUUUUGUCCGGAAAGAAAUCCUUGGCCCUAAUACGGUCGGGGGACGACGGUACCGGAAGAAUAAGCACCGGCUAACUACGUG